rnacentral:rRNA from 1 species
AUUGAACGCUGGCGGCAGGCCUAACACAUGCAAGUCGAGCGGCAGCGGGAAAGUAGCUUGCUACUUUUGCCGGCGAGCGGCGGACGGGUGAGUAAUGCCUGGGGAUCUGCCCAGUCGAGGGGGAUAACUACUGGAAGCGGUAGCUAAUACCGCAUACGCCCUACGGGGGAAAGCAGGGGACCUUCGGGCCUUGCGCGAUUGGAUGAACCGAGGUGGGAUUAGCUAGUUGGUGAGGUAAUGGCUCACCAAGGCGACGAUCCCUAGUUGGUCUGAGAGGAUGAUCAGCCACACUGGAACUGAGACACGGUCCAGACUCCUACGGGAGGCAGCAAUGGGGAAUAUUGCACAAUGGGGGAAACCCUGAUGCAGCCAUGCCGCGUGUGUGAAGAAGGCCUUCGGGUUGUAAAGCACUUUCAGCGAGGAGGAAAGGUUGGUAGCUAAUAACUGCCAGCUGUGACGUUACUCGCAGAAGAAGCACCGGCUAACUCCGUGCCAGCCGCCGCAGUAAGAC